AGAGUUUGAUCAUGGCUCAGAACGUACGCUGGCGGCACGCCUAACACAUGCAAGUCGAACGAAGUAGCAAUACUUAGUGGCAGACGGGUGAGUAACAUGUAGGUAUCUACCCUUUGGCCUGGAAUAACACGAGGAAACUUGUGCUAAUACCGGAUAAGUCUUUACGGAGAAAGCUUUAUGCACCAUUGGAUGAGCCUGCACUUGAUUAGUUUGUUGGUGGGGUAAUGGCCUACCAAGACUUUGAUCAAUAGCUGAUUUGGGAGGAUGAUCAGCCACAUUGGGACUGAGACACGGCCCAAACUCCUACGGGAGGCAGCAGUGGGGAAUCUUGCACAAUGGAGGAAACUCUGAUGCAGCGAUGCCGCGUGAGUGAAGAAGGCCUUUGGGUUGUAAAGCUCUUUCGUCGGGGAAGAAAAUGACUGUACCCGAAUAAGAAGGUCCGGCUAACUUCGUGCCAGCAGCCGCGGUAAUACGAAGGGACCUAGCGUAGUUCGGAAUUACUGGGCUUAAAGAGUUCGUAGGUGGUUGAAAAAGUUGGUGGUGAAAUCCCAGAGCUUAACUCUGGAACUGCCAUCAAAACUUUUCAGCUAGAGUUUGAUAGAGGAAAGCAGAAUUUCUAGUGUAGAGGUGAAAUUCGUAGAUAUUAGAAAGAAUACCAAUUGCGAAGGCAGCUUUCUGGAUCAUUACUGACACUGAGGAACGAAAGCAUGGGUAGCGAAGAGGAUUAGAUACCCUCGUAGUCCAUGCCGUAAACGAUGUGUGUUAGACGUUGGAAAUUUAUUUUCAGUGUCGCAGCGAAAGCGAUAAACACACCGCCUGGGGAGUACGACCGCAAGGUUAAAACUCAAAUGAAUUGACGGGGACCCGCACAAGUAGUGGAGCAUGUGGUUUAAUUCGAAGAUACGCGCAGAACCUUACCAACACUUGACAUGUUCGUCGCGACUUUAAGAGAUUAAAGUUUUCGGUUCGGCCGGACGAAACACAGGUGCUGCAUGGCUGUCGUCAGCUCGUGUCGUGAGAUGUUGGGUUAAGUCCCGCAACGAGCGCAACCCUCACUUUUAGUUGCCAUCAUUUAGUUGGGCACUCUGAAAGAACUGCCAGUGAUAAGCUGGAGGAAGGUGGGGAUGACGUCAAGUCCUCAUGGCCCUUACGUGUUGGGCUACACACGUGCUACAAUGGUAUUUACAACAGGAAGCAAGACGGCGACGUUAAGCAAAUCCUUACAAAAUACCUCAGUUCGGAUUGCACUCUGCAACUCGAGUGCAUGAAGCUGGAAUUACUAGUAAUCGUGGAUCAGCGUGCCACGGUGAAUGCGUUCCC
rnacentral:rRNA from 1 species